GUCGAACGCACUCUUCGGAGUGAGUGGCAGACGGGUGAGUAACACGUGGGAACGUACCCUUCGGUACGGAAUAACUCAGGGAAACUUGAGCUAAUACCGUAUACGUCCGAGAGGAGAAAGAUUUAUCGCCGAUGGAUCGGCCCGCGUCUGAUUAGCUUGUUGGUGAGGUAAUGGCUCACCAAGGCAACGAUCAGUAGCUGGUCUGAGAGGAUGAUCAGCCACAUUGGGACUGAGACACGGCCCAAACUCC
rnacentral:rRNA from 1 species